rnacentral:rRNA from 1 species
GACGAACGCUGGCGGCGUGCCUAAUACCUGCAAGUUGAGCGCUGAAGGCUGGUACUUGUACCCACUGGAUGAGCAGCGCACGGGUCAGUAACGCGUGGGCAAUCUGCCUUUUAGCGGGGGACAACCUUUGGGAACGAAUGCUAAUACCGCAUAACAACUUUAAAUACAAGUUUUCAGUUUGAAAGAUGCAAUUGCAUCACUCAAACAUGCACCCGCGUUGUAUUAGCUAACUGGUGAGGAAAAGGCUGACCAAGGCGAUGAUACAUAGCCGACCUGAGAGGGUGAUAGGCCACGUUGAGACUGAGACACGGCCCGACCUCCUACGGGAGGCAGCAGUAGGGGAUCUUCGGCAAUAGACGAAAGGCUGACCGAGCGACGCCGCGUGAGUGAAGAAGGUUUUCGGAUCGGAAGACUCUGUUGGUAGAGAAGAGCGUUGGUGAGAGUGGAAAGCGCAUCAAGUGACGGUAACUACCCAGAAAGGGACGGCUAACUACGUG